rnacentral:rRNA from 1 species
AAUGAACGCUGGCGGCAUGCCUAACACAUGCAAGUCGAACGAAGGCUUCGGCCUUAGUGGCGCACGGGUGCGUAACGCGUGGGAAUCUGCCCUGGGUUCGGAAUAACAGUUAGAAAUGACUGCUAAUACCGGAUGAUGUCGUAAGACCAAAGAUUUAUCGCCCAAGGAUGAGCCCGCGUAGGAUUAGCUAGUUGGUGGGGUAAAGGCCUACCAAGGCGACGAUCCUUAGCUGGUCUGAGAGGAUGAUCAGCCACACUGGGACUGAGACACGGCCCAGACUCCUACGGGAGGCAGCAGUGGGGAAUAUUGGACAAUGGGCGAAAGCCUGAUCCAGCAAUGCCGCGUGAGUGAUGAAGGCCUUAGGGUUGUAAAGCUCUUUUACCCGGGAUGAUAAUGACAGUACCGGGAGAAUAAGCUCCGGCUAACUUCGUG